rnacentral:piRNA from 1 species
ACAAGGGACGAGUAAGAAAGACU